rnacentral:rRNA from 1 species
GACGAACGCUGGCGGCGUGCUUAACACAUGCAAGUCGAGCGGUAAGGCCCUUUCGGGGGUACACGAGCGGCGAACGGGUGAGUAACACGUGGGUGACCUGCCCUCAGCUCUGGGAUAAGCCUGGGAAACCGGGUCUAAUACUGGAUAUGACUCCAUGACGCAUGUUGUGGGGUGGAAAGCCUUGUGCGGCUGAGGAUGGGCCCGCGGCCUAUCAGCUUGUUGGUGGGGUGAUGGCCUACCAAGGCGACGACGGGUAGCCGGCCUGAGAGGGCGACCGGCCACACUGGGACUGAGACACGGCCCAGACUCCUACGGGAGGCAGCAGUGGGGAAUAUUGGACAAUGGGCGCAAGCCUGAUCCAGCGAUGCCGCGUGUGUGAAGAAGGCCUGCGGGUUGUAAA